CAGCCGCCACGGGAAUACGAAGGGGGCUAGCGUUGCUCGGAAUGACUGGGCGUAAAGGGCGCGUAGGCGGCGAUCAAAGUCAGGGGUGAAAUCCCGGGGCUCAACCCCGGAACUGCCUUUGAUACUGGAAGUCUUGAGUAUGGUAGAGGUGAGUGGAAUUCCGAGUGUAGAGGUGAAAUUCGUAGAUAUUCGGAGGAACACCAGUGGCGAAGGCGGCUCACUGGACCAUUACUGACGCUGAGGUGCGAAAGCGUGGGGAGCAAACAGGAUUAGAUACCCCCGUAGUCCCUGUCUCUUAUAC
rnacentral:rRNA from 1 species